rnacentral:miRNA from 1 species
UACCCUGGUCAUAGAGUCCUGA